GUUUGGUGGUGGGAUCUAAUGGUUGUAUUACCUGGAUAAAAGGGCCAUUGUGGCUUUCCUCAGCACAGCAGCUACAUAUCAGGAUAGUGUUUGGUUUACUACUGGGAUUUUGUCCUUUAGAAGCAAGGAAGAAACCAUGUGAAGAGAAAAGAGGAAAAGAGGCCGACUUCAUCCGUUGCUACCAUAAAGCUGUCUCUGACCCUUCAAACACUUUUUUAAACAUGUUCUUGUUGUCUUUUGUAACAAGGAUCUCACGUUUGUACUUUGUCACACUGUCCUACCUGAGCUUACUGAUGAGUAAACUGACAUAUAGGAAUUUCAAAUUCUCAGAUAAGCCUAGACUGUAUAUUGCAUAGGCUUUUGCUUGUCUCUCUGUGUAAGGUUAUUUUUUUUCUUUUCAUACAAUAUAUGGAAGUUUGCAAAAAAAAAAAAAAAAAAAAAAAGCAAAAAUCUGUUAAAACCUUCCAUAUUUUAUGAUGAAGAGUCACAAAAGUAUACGUACCUCUCAUGUAACAAGCAGCAUAUUCUCUUGAACGUGAUCUUUACCACUGACUUGGUGGAAGAGGGGCUGGGCCUGAUGUUGAUUUAUUUUUUUUUUCCCAGAACCCCAUAUGUUUUUGAACUAUUAUGCAACAGACCUUUUGACGUUUCUCUUUUAGCUUGCUUAACAGUUUGCUGAGAGUGCCAAGAAAUUAUUUUCACCUUUCAUAACCACUUUUUUAUUAUUAUUAUUAUUCCUCUAAACACAUUUGUUUCAUAUUUCUAAUCUAUGUCGUCUUGCAAGGCGAGAGGCUCUUGUAUGGUCACUGAGUAGCACGAGAGAAGAGGAACCAAAUUGUCUGAGGGCUGUAGCUAUCAAGGCUUGCCCCUUCCUUAACUCCUGCAUAUAAAACCAGUGAUCCUACUGCAGGUUAGGAAAGAGUGAGAUUCUCUUUAUGAACUAAGCAUGCAUAUAUGGUAUAUACCAAUGCCACUCACAGCAGUUCGGAAGCAACUGCCUUUCUUAACAAGAAAUGGUUAAAAAAUCCACAGCUGCUUUUGUAAUUUUUGUUGUGCUAUAUACUUGGAAGCUUGUUCAUUGUUAUCAAAGGCAAGGUGUUAAUUCAAAGAGACUUAUUGUAAUUGUAUGACCUAAUUAGAAUCGAGCCUCUGAUCAUACAUAUUUCAUGAAUAAAUGAAAUGACUUCGUACAUUCUUUUCUUCA